UCCGGUUUGACACCGGCAGUCCCCCUAGAGUCCCCGGCAUGACCCGCUGGUAACUAGGGGCAAAGGUUUCGCUCGUUAAGGGACUUAACCCGACAUCUCACGACACGAGCUGACGACAGCCAUGCAGCACCUGUGACCGUUGUACCCCUUGCGGGGCCUACCCCGCUUUCACGGGGAUAAUCCGGCCAUGUCAAGCCCAGGUAAGGUUCUGCGCGUUGCUUCGAAUUGAACCACAUGCUCCACCGCUUGUGUGAGCCCCCGUCAAUUCCUUUGAGUUUUAGCCUUGCGACCGUACUUCCCAGGCGGUCCACUUAACACUUUUGCUCCGGCCGCGACCGCCCGUCAAAGGCGGGCCGCGGCCUAGUGGACAUCGUUUAGGGCCAGGACUAC
rnacentral:misc_RNA from 1 species